GACGGAGGGUGCUAGCGUUGUUCGGAAUCACUGGGCGUAAAGCGCGUGUAGGCGGUUCGAUAAGUCGGAUGUGAAAGCCCGAAGCUCAACUUCGGAAGUGCAUCCGAAACUGUCGGGCUUGAGUACGGGAGAGGGAAGCGGAAUUCCUGGUGUAGAGGUGAAAUUCGUAGAUAUCAGGAGGAACACCGGUGGCGAAGGCGGCUUCCUGGACCGAUACUGACGCUGAGACGCGAAAGCGUGGGGAGCAAACAGG
rnacentral:rRNA from 2 species